UUUAUGGAGAGUUUGAUCCUGGCUCAGGAUGAACGCUGGCGGCGUGCCUAAUACAUGCAAGUCGAGCGAACAGAUAAGGAGCUUGCUCCUUUGACGUUAGCGGCGGACGGGUGAGUAACACGUGGGUAACCUACCUAUAAGACUGGGAUAACUUCGGGAAACCGGAGCUAAUACCGGAUAAUAUUUCGAACCGCAUGGUUCGAUAGUGAAAGAUGGUUUUGCUAUCACUUAUAGAUGGACCCGCGCCGUAUUAGCUAGUUGGUAGGGUAACGGCUUACCAAGGCAACGAUACGUAGCCGACCUGAGAGGGUGAUCGGCCACACUGGAACUGAGACACGGUCCAGACUCCUACGGGAGGCAGCAGUAGGGAAUCUUCCGCAAUGGGCGAAAGCCUGACGGAGCAACGCCGCGUGAGUGAUGAAGGUCUUCGGAUCGUAAAACUCUGUUAUUAGGGAAGAACAUACGUGUAAGUAACUAUGCACGUCUUGACGGUACCUAAUCAGAAAGCCACGGCUAACUACGUGCCAGCAGCCGCGGUAAUACGUAGGUGGCAAGCGUUAUCCGGAAUUAUUGGGCGUAAAGCGCGCGUAGGCGGUUUUUUAAGUCUGAUGUGAAAGCCCACGGCUCAACCGUGGAGGGUCAUUGGAAACUGGAAAACUUGAGUGCAGAAGAGGAAAGUGGAAUUCCAUGUGUAGCGGUGAAAUGCGCAGAGAUAUGGAGGAACACCAGUGGCGAAGGCGACUUUCUGGUCUGUAACUGACGCUGAUGUGCGAAAGCGUGGGGAUCAAACAGGAUUAGAUACCCUGGUAGUCCACGCCGUAAACGAUGAGUGCUAAGUGUUAGGGGGUUUCCGCCCCUUAGUGCUGCAGCUAACGCAUUAAGCACUCCGCCUGGGGAGUACGACCGCAAGGUUGAAACUCAAAGGAAUUGACGGGGACCCGCACAAGCGGUGGAGCAUGUGGUUUAAUUCGAAGCAACGCGAAGAACCUUACCAAAUCUUGACAUCCUUUGACCGCUCUAGAGAUAGAGUUUUCCCCUUCGGGGGACAAAGUGACAGGUGGUGCAUGGUUGUCGUCAGCUCGUGUCGUGAGAUGUUGGGUUAAGUCCCGCAACGAGCGCAACCCUUAAACUUAGUUGCCAGCAUUCAGUUGGGCACUCUAAGUUGACUGCCGGUGACAAACCGGAGGAAGGUGGGGAUGACGUCAAAUCAUCAUGCCCCUUAUGAUUUGGGCUACACACGUGCUACAAUGGACAAUACAAAGGGCAGCGAAACCGCGAGGUCAAGCAAAUCCCAUAAAGUUGUUCUCAGUUCGGAUUGUAGUCUGCAACUCGACUACAUGAAGCUGGAAUCGCUAGUAAUCGUAGAUCAGCAUGCUACGGUGAAUACGUUCCCGGGUCUUGUACACACCGCCCGUCACACCACGAGAGUUUGUAACACCCGAAGCCGGUGGAGUAACCAUUUUGGAGCUAGCCGUCGAAGGUGGGACAAAUGAUUGGGGUGAAGUCGUAACAAGGUAGCCGUAUCGGAAGGUGCGGCUGGAUCACCUCCUUUCU
rnacentral:rRNA from 1 species